rnacentral:lncRNA from 1 species
AGAAAUCAGAUUAGAUCUUAUUUUUAUCAUAGAAAAUUAAAGAAGAAAAAUUCUUCUUAAGGGUGUGAAAGGAAGAGAGAAAAGUUCUCUCUUAUGCAUGAAAAAUUGAGAAGAAAGGGUUCUUCUCUUGAUCUCUAUUAUGGAGAUCAGAUGCAUGGAUCUAGGAAGAAAAGGAGAGGAUCUCCUUAUUCUUCAUCUCCAUCAUGUUCCUCUUAAAUCAGUUAAAGAAUGGUAUCCUUGCGAGCUAGCACUCCCGAGGA